rnacentral:rRNA from 1 species
UACGGGAGGCAGCAGUAGGGAAUCUUCCGCAAUGGGCGAAAGCCUGACGGAGCAACGCCGCGUGAGUGAUGAAGGUCUUCGGAUCGUAAAACUCUGUUAUUAGGGAAGAACAUAUGUGUAAGUAACUGUGCACAUCUUGACGGUACCUAAUCAGAAAGCCACGGCUAACUACGUGCCAGCAGCCGCGGUAAU